rnacentral:rRNA from 1 species
AUUGAACGCUGGCGGCGUGCCUAACACAUGCAAGUCGAGCGGUAACAGGUGUAGCAAUACAUGCUGACGAGCGGCGGACGGGUGAGUAACGCUUGGGAAUCUGCCUAUUAGUGGGGGACAACCCGGGGAAACUCGGGCUAAUACCGCAUACGCUCUACGGAGGAAAGCCGGGGACCGCAAGGCCUGGCGCUAAUAGAUGAGCCCAAGUCGGAUUAGCUAGUUGGUAGGGUAAUGGCCUACCAAGGCGACGAUCCGUAACUGGUCUGAGAGGAUGGCCAGCCACAUUGGGACUGAGACACGGCCCAGACUCCUACGGGAGGCAGCAGUGGGGAAUAUUGCGCAAUGGCCGCAAGGCUGACGCAGCGACGCCGCGUGUGGGAUGACGGCCCUCGGGUUGUAAACCACUGUCGGGAGGGACGAAUACGGGGCCUCGAAUAGGGGACCCGUGGGUGACGGUACCUCCAAAGGAAGCACCGGCUAACUCCGUGCCAGCCGCCGCGGUAAG